AGUGAACGCUGGCGGUAUGCCUAACACAUGCAAGUCGAACGGCAGCACAGUAAGAGCUUGCUCUUACGGGUGGCGAGUGGCGGACGGGUGAGGAAUACAUCGGAAUCUACUUUUUCGUGGGGGAUAACGUAGGGAAACUUACGCUAAUACCGCAUACGACCUACGGGUGAAAGCAGUGGAUCUUCGGACCUUGCGCGAUUGAAUUAGCCGAUGUCGGAUUAGCUAGUUGGCGGGGUAAAGGCCCACCAAGGCGACGAUCCGUAGCUGGUCUGAGAGGAUGAUCAGCCACACUGGAACUGAGACACGGUCCAGACUCCUACGGGAGGCAGCAGUGGGGAAUAUUGGACAAUGGGCGCAAGCCUGAUCCAGCAAUACCGCGUGGGUGAAGAAGGCCUUCGGGUUGUAAAGCCCUUUUGUUGGGAAAGAAAAGCAGCAGGUUAAUACCCCGCUGUUCUGACGGUACCCAAAGAAUAAGCACCGGCUAACUUCGUG
rnacentral:rRNA from 1 species